UGGGGAAUAUUGCACAAUGGGGGAAACCCUGAUGCAGCGACGCCGCGUGUGCGAAGAAGUAUUUCGGUAUGUAAAGCUCUAUCAGCAGGGAAGAAAUUGACGGUACCUGAGUAAGAAGCUCCGGCUAAAUACGUGCC
rnacentral:rRNA from 1 species